AUUCUGUCUUUGCAGGAACAAUGUUUCCAGACCAAAGUGACUUUGACUACGGUAAGACUCAGUAAUAAUUUUUUUGGAUUAAAGUUAAGUUCAUCAUCAGCUUCUGAGGAACGUCCGUGUGGUAAACUCCCAAUGAUUUUGUCCCCCUGUAGAUUAUGAGACGUUGCGGACCACAGGGAUGGUCCUCGCUAUUGUCAUGUUUGUCUCUGGCAUUUUAAUAGCCCUGAGUAAGUUCAGACUUUAAUUAAGAUAUCUCUCUAAUUCAGAGGCUUUAAUCAAAUUUCUAACUCGUCUAUCAUUCCUCAAACAGGUAAAAAAUUCACUAAAUGUGUAAAACCCUCAUCCAAGUAAGACAUGUGGAUGACCCGCCUGUGCAUGCUGUAUGACUCUGACUUGAAGGGGGAAACACAACCGGUGUGCUCAUGUGACUAAUGCUGAGUUUCUCACAGCUUUUCCUCUCCCCUCCCCUGCCCUGGAUGCAUCUUCUCUUAAUGUCCAUUCCCCCCUUGUUCUGCAAACACACAACCCUGAAACACACCUUAACGAUCAAACACAACUACACAUAACAAGCCACACGUGGGCAGUGCUUUCACAUUCCCCAAAACUCGGUGGUUGUUCUUGAAAAAGCAUUUGAGUCAAAGGUAUGCGUCAUUCUGCUCAUGUGUUGGGAGUGAGUGUGUGGCCGUGGGUUUUCACGGGCUGGUCGCAUGCUGCUUGAAUGGCCAGAGAGGAGGAGCACCUAGCUGCUGUUUGAGCAGGAUGACAAAUAAAAACUGGAUAUUGAUUUAUGGUUAUUGAAAGCCUGACUCAGAAUCCUGUGGCUUCGACUGACUCAUGAAAUCUUGGUGAGGGAGAAACUUGAUUAAAUGCAACUCGCCCGAGUUGAAGUUGUGGCCACAGGCUUCAGACUGCAGAGCCAGUGAUUGAUUAUCAGAUAGAAGAUGAAAUUGAAAAUAGGAAUCUUUACUUAUUUUUCUUAUUUGUAAUUUCAGCUCCAGCUCGUCUGGGACCCAGAUUCCAAAGACAGAGGUUCCUCCUCAAACUGUUUAGACUUCAGACUCUCCGACCUGAAAGAGAGAAAGCAUGCCAGCAAACACACAAAAACACACACACACACUCACUCUCUCUCUCUCUCACACACACACACACACACACACACAUAAACACACAUGUUGUCAACUUGUCAGCUGGAUGAUCAAUAAACAGGGUUUUCUGAUGCUUCCUCUUUGAACCAGUGGUGGUAUCUGACGAACAGCUCCUCCCACAGCUUCUCCUCUCCCUGCCCUGGAUGCCUCCUCUCUUAAUGCUGCAGAAAUGUACAAAACAACUUUUUGUAUACUUUGCUCAGUGUUGUGUGAUUGUUGGUACUAUAAGCAGUAGAGACAUGAAUAUAUGCACAAACAAAAGCUCAUAUGCAUAUUCAGAAAGACAGAAGCAACAAGUAUUGUCUCUAUUCCUGACAGUCAAAUAAAGAGCAUGAAUAUAUAUAUAUAAAUAUAUAUAGACUUGGCCAUUUUGUAUCAAUGACCCAUGAACUGCAUGCUUCAGUAAAUUGUAACAAUUGUCUAUUACCUUUAUUUUCCCUAAUUUUUCCUUUAUUUCUGUUGAUAUCUUUUUCCAGAAAAGCAUUAAUUAAUGAUAGAAUGAAGAAACAAAUCACAGGAAUAAAUCAAAAGUUGUCAAAUUACCCAGCUAAAAUGAAGCAGCGGCCAUAAUAACUUAUCAAGAUUGAAGAUCAAUGUAUUAUUUGAAAGAUCUUUGAAAAAUAUAAAAGAAAAUGUGUAUUUAAAAUGUUUGUUUUUAUGUUUUAGUAUUAGCAGUUUGUUUUUAUUUCGAGUAAAAAGGAAUUAAGGAAUGAGAAAUUGAAGCCAAUACAAUGAGACCAGUGUUUCAAAUAAAGCUCUUGUCUACUCAA